rnacentral:lncRNA from 1 species
UGGUGCCUAGGAGGAGAGCGAGGGGGUUGCCGGCUUUGUUAGAAUACAUGGUGGUUUCAUACGUGUAUUUUAAAAAUUUUUAACAUAAAACAGAUUUAUGUAUGUAAUGGAAGUAAAUUAAAUUAAAAUAUUUUUAAUUUAAAUUUAUGUACUAGAUUAGAUCUGAAAACCACAUGUGGGAUCUUCAUACGAACAUGUCAUCAUUGUCUGAAAUC